GUGCUCGCUUUGGCAGCACAUAUGCAAAAUUGGAACAAUACAGAGAAAAUUAGCAUGGCCCCUGCACAAAGAUGACACGCAGAUUCAUGAAGCGUCCCACUCUUUA
rnacentral:snRNA from 1 species